rnacentral:rRNA from 1 species
AUACCAGCUGGCUGCAACUGUUUAUUAAAAACACAGCACUGUGCAAACACGAAAGUGGACGUAUACGGUGUGACGCCUGCCCGGUGCCGGAAGGUUAAUUGAUGGGGUCAGCGCAAGCGAAGCUCCUGAUCGAAGCCCCGGUAAACGGCGGCCGUAACUAUAACGGUCCUAAGGUAGCGAAAUUCCUUGUCGGGUAAGUUCCGACCUGCACGAAUGGCGUAAUGAUGGCCAGGCUGUCUCCACCCGAGACUCAGUGAAAUUGAACUCGCUGUGAAGAUGCAGUGUACCCGCGGCAAGACGGAAAGACCCCGUGAACCUUUACUAUAGCUUGACACUGAACACUGGUCCUUGAUGUGUAGGAUAGGUGGGAGGCUUUGAAGUGUGGACGCCAGUCUGCAUGGAGCCAUCCUUGAAAUACCACCCUUUAAUGGCUGGUGUUCUAACGUAGACCCGUAAUCCGGGUUGCGGACAGUGUCUGGUGGGUAGUUUGACUGGGGCGGUCUCCUCCUAAAGAGUAACGGAGGAGCACGAAGGUUGGCUAAUCCUGGUCGGACAUCAGGAGGUUAGUGCAAUGGCAUAAGCCAGCUUGACUGCGAGCGUGACGGCGCGAGCAGGUGCGAAAGCAGGUCAUAGUGAUCCGGUGGUUCUGAAUGGAAGGGCCAUCGCUCAACGGAUAAAAGGUACUCCGGGGAUAACAGGCUGAUACCGCCCAAGAGUUCAUAUCGACGGCGGUGUUUGGCACCUCGAUGUCGGCUCAUCACAUCCUGGGGCUGAAGUAGGUCCCAAGGGUAUGGCUGUUCGCCAUUUAAAGUGGUACGCGAGCUGGGUUUAGAACGUCGUGAGACAGUUCGGUCCCUAUCUGCCGUGGGCGCUGGAGAACUGAGGGGGGCUGCUCCUAGUACGAGAGGACCGGAGUGGACGCAUCACUGGUGUUCGGGUUGUCAUGCCAAUGGCACUGCCCGGUAGCUAAAUGCGGAAGAGAUAAGUGCUGAAAGCAUCUAAGCACGAAACUUGCCCCGAGAUGAGUUCUCCCUGAGACUUAGAGUCUCCUGAAGGAACGUUGAAGACGACGACGUUGAUAGGCCGGGUGUGUAAGCGCAGCGAUGCGUUGAGCUAACCGGUACUAAUGAACCGUGAGGCUUAACC